UACGUAGGGGGCAAGCGUUGUCCGGAAUUAUUGGGCGUAAAGAGCGCGUAGGCGGUCCGAUAAGUCGGCUGUGAAAGUCAGGGGCUCAACCCUUGGAAGCCGGCCGAUACUGUCGGACUAGAGUCCGGAAGAGGCGAGUGGAAUUCCCGGUGUAGCGGUGAAAUGCGCAGAUAUCUGGAGGAACCCCGGUGGCGAAAGCGGCUCACUGGACCGUCUCUGACGCUGAGGUGCGAAAGCUAGGGUAGCAAACGGG
rnacentral:rRNA from 1 species